AGCUGUGUCAUCACUAGCCCUAAUGUCUCAUUCUGUGUGAUUCCACAGCUCCUGCCAAGGCACUGGCCUGGAGGAACUUAGUCCCUUUUCCUGUGAUCUUCUUUUACUUUUGUAAGAUCACAUCUAUACUCCUGGACAGCCUAUGCCACUAACUGACAUUUGCAGCAAAGGUCAAACUGCCGAUAGCCCGUGCAAUGGAGGCAGUAGACGACACAAGUCAAGAGCAGUUGCUGUUGUAGCCCUGGCGGCAGGCAUGCUCACGUGUUUUUGUUUGUUCUCUUUUGUUGUUGUUUGUAACUAUUGUCACUUAAAACAACGCAUAUGCAGCAGUGAGCAUGGCCUAUUUUUUUUUUAAGCUCUUAACCUCUCAGUGUGUGUCUUCUGACUAUUCUGCAUGACAGAAUGGCAAGCACAGGACACCUUCAUGUGCAGCCACCGUCAGGGCGUCUCUAGGACCAGCACCAGAGCAGUUGAGCUGUGAGGUGAAUGUGUUGCUUUUCCUCAGGGAGUGUUAAUACGUCACUGUCAGGGUGCAUGGACAUCUGGGUAUCCUACGUGAUACAGGGUGUCUGGACUCUUGAAGCUGAAAGGUGAGAUCCACUGUGGUGAUUUGAAUACGCUUGGCCCAGGGAGUGGCACUAGUAGGAGGUAUAGCCUCAUUGGAGGAUAAGAUGCUCCUCCUCGCUGCCUGGAAGCCAGUCUAUGCCACCAGCCUUCAGAUGAAGACAUAGAACUCCCAGAUCCUCCUGUCCCAUGCCUGCCUGGAUGCUGCCACUCCUUGAUAAUGAACUGAACCCCUGAACCUGUAGGCCAGCCCCAAUUGAAUAUUGUUCUUAUAAGAGUUGCCUUGGACAUGGUGUCUCUUCACAGCAGCUAACUAAGACAUCCACAUUCCCUGAUAAUGUCUGGAACUCGUCACAUGCUUCAUUUGCAACCUGAUUUUCAGGCCACACUGGCAUUGUCACUACAUGAUUGUGAGAGAAAGGACCCCUGAGGACUUAACAGGGGGACCUUCUCCCAGUGUCAGGAACGAGGAGUGAGCAUCAAGUCCUCCCCAUGUGGGUCCCAGGAAACCCAUUAAUGACUUCUGGCUCAGCUCAAAUAUCUCCUGAUGUUCUGAGAGUGAUGUGGUCCAUACCCUCAUUCUUGUUACUCCAUCUGCCCCUCCCCACUUCCCAUCUCUGACACAGACAAGCUCAGAACUGCCUGGCUGACUUUUCUGCAGUUCAGAGGCUCCUUCCUUGCCAGCCAUGCUAUAUACAGCAUCAGCUAUUCUUCAGUCUGCCUCAGUUACACAUCCCAGCCAGGUAGCAGAUUACCCACUAUGUGUUACUUACAGUUGCUUGCUAUCUGUCUUCUGUGAUACAUAUAGACACCAGUCUUUAAAGUUUCUUCUUGAAAUAGGACUCUACUUCAAAAGAUACCUGACAGUUUACUGUCUUCUACAGUUUUAUCUUUUUAUCCUGUUUUUUACAUUUUUAAAUCCUUCAAAAAUAGAAUUCUAAUAUCAUUCUGUAAAGCCCCUUUCUCCUUUGUCUAGGGAAAAAAAAAUCUGAAUUCCCAUAGCAUCUAACACAGAUAUAUCCUUAGGGGUACUUUUUUUUUUUUUUUACUAGUUUUUGUAUGUGUAUGUAUAUGUGCAUGCAUGCAUGUAUAUAUGUGAGUGUUGCGUGUGGCCUAUGUGCACAUGUGCCUUUGGGUGCUUGUGUGCAAAGGGUGAAGGAUGUCAGGUGUCCUGCCUAUGAUUAUUUGCCUCGUUCCUUUGAGACAAGGUCCUUCUGGACCUAGAGUGGGGCUGGACCCUGUUGAACCCCAACAGCCCAGUCUCUGACCCUGCACAGUGCUGAGGUCAAAGGUGCUCACAUGGCCACGCCCUGAUUCUUAACAGGGGUGCUAAGAUUUGAACUUAAGUGCUCAUGUUUAUAUAGCAAGUGUCCUUACCCAUAGAACCAUCUCUCUAGAUAUCCACCUCUUUGAACCAAGGUAUGGGCUUACCUGUGUCUAUAACUAUCUCUGAGUAAAGCGGGUGACCCAUGAGCAGGAUGUGCCUCCCAUAAUGCACCAGAGAGACAGUCAUGUCGUAGUAAAUACACAGUUUCCUAAUUAUUAGGGAAGUCCAGGAUCCAUCAGUUACAGAAUUCCCGCUAGCCCAGGAGGGUUUUGCUCAGUGACUAGCAUACUGGCCUGUCUCUUGAGAGAACCACACAUCUCCAGUGAUGGCUAAGGGUGGCCUUCCAGAGAAGUUCCCUACCUGUGAGACCCACAGAGUUCUGUGGCCUAAGGCCUGUUCCUAGAAGGGGAGGGGCACUUCCCACAUGGUAACACACCUGAGCAAAGUACUCCUCGGAGAUCCUUCCAGCCCAUUCAAUGCACAGGUCCAAGGGCCGGCACGGGUUGGCCACGUCGGCACACUUAAUCAUCAUGCGUUUGAUGAGGAUUUGGUUCUCAGGAAAGUUCUUCCCGGUAGGGUUGCAUUCACAAUCACUGCCCUCACUCUGGGAAAAAAAACCAAAAAACAACAAACAAAACCGAUCAGAUCAGGGCUGGGGAAACUCACAGAGGCUAACUCACCGGACACACAGGUUAGUCUGGGACUUAGCAAUGGGAACUGUCUGAUUUCUAUAUCCAUAAAUAACAUGUUAGCAUCGUCUUUAAGAACCAUCAAUAUUGUAUCGAAUUCAAAAGGCCAAAAGUCCCCAUCACCCACUGACCUGGUGUAGCAGCUACAGGCAGUGUUUGUUCUGAGCAGUUUAGGAGAUCACCUUAAAAGGGACUGUCUCCCACUCUCUCUCCCUCUCCCCGACUCCUCAGAAAUGUAUGAAAACACAGCUUUCAGUUAUUUUAAUCCAUCAAAUGUCAAGAAAUUGUGACUUUUCAAUUCCGUCUUCAUUUGUUUUUACUUGGUUUCCUCUCGCUGCCUACCCACCCCCCUUCGUCAGCCAUGUAUACAUCCACGUGUGCUUCUUGGCUGGCUCUCAUUGAGAGAUAAUUAGUGUGAAGUGUGAAGCAUGGAUAUUUGGGCCAAAAUGCAAGAGGAUGUGUGUUCGGCAGUCUCUGAAGACAUGGUUAUGCAGUGCUAUGUACCUACUGGGGGAAUGCCAGUGGCCCAGGGCAUGGAACCAGGUCUGUAUGUAUGCAUUCACACCAAUUUCACAGAGCCUGGAGAACUAUCCUCUCCAAGAGGCACCAUGGGUUUGUAUGAAGCCGUUAAUUAGCUCUCCAGAGCUGGGCCAAGCUGAAAGACAGCCUGACGUGUAGUGGGAUUUUGUUGUGAGGUUGGUCCUCUUUAUUGGACUCCUGAGGGAAGACAGUUCUAGACGCUGUUUUCCCAACACCCUAAGAAGGUAUUGUUUACUGCAGACCAUGUGUCGGGCAGUAAAUCUCAAACAGAAUUGGAGGUAUGAAGAGAUGACUGUCUCAAUUCCAAACUCAGUCAUUCUGUGUAGUUUUAUGCUCAAAACGUCAAGAUACUUAUUUGUUCCUCUCUACCUCUGCCAGGAGGAAACCCCUGGCUUGUGUGAUGGCAUCCGUGGGAGAUGGGGAUCAACACGGAUGAGCUGGCAAUCUUCCUCUCCCUAGGUUGGUCAUGUGAUGGGUUCUAUAGCCAGCGUCCUUACUGAUCAUCAAGUUACCUUCAGAACAUUUAUUCUACCUUUUACAGGACUGGAAACUUAUGCCUUUCAGGAGCUAUGGAACACACUUAUGGUUUCCGAGGAGACAGCCAAUUUCAUGUUAGUAAAGGGUGAACAUUCUGUCUUAUUUCUAAAGCCCAGAGUCGUAAGGCGCAUAAGUGAGGUUCAUGGUAAACUUCUCUCUUUUUAAAAUUUUUAUUUAAAAAAAACAUUUUGUAUAUUUUGAACAUAUUCUUCUUAUUUUCUUCAGGUCCUCCAUACUUCCCUACAGAUUUUCAAUGUUAUUUUGUCUCUUUUUAUUGUAUUUUUUAUUGGGGGGGGAACAUGAUGCAUUUAUAAAAAAAGAAAAAAAGCUUACAUUUUUGUUUUUUUAGUCACACAGUUAGCUUUAAUUAUCAAUUUGACAAUAUCAUGGGCUCUUCCAGGAAGGGAGUCUUAGUUGAGGGAUUGCCCAGAUCAGAUCAGCCUAUGUAGGCCCAUCUCUGUGGGAUUGUCUUGAGUGUUAAUUGUUGUGGGAAGAUCAACCUAUUGAUGGCAGCAUCCCCAGACAACUGGUUUUGAUCUAUAAGGAAAGUGGCUAAGCGCGAACUGGUGAACGUGUCCGUGAGCUUCCUUCCUCCCUCCAUGGUGUCUGCCAUACUUCCUUGGCUGGGAGUGAGUUCCCGGUCAGAAUUAGUGCUGCAUGAAGUAGCAGCAUUUCUGCCUUCAGACUCCUGGUCUUGAGGUCUUGCUUAACUCCCCUCCAGGAAACACUGACUGAGAACAAAUAAACCUUUUCUUCCC
rnacentral:lncRNA from 1 species